rnacentral:lncRNA from 10 species
CAGAGAGACAGAGAGGAGCCACCCUAAGAAGAGAGACCAGAUACCCUUUUCUCAUCCUUUGAGUUCAACAGAUGUCUCUUCUGGUUGCAAGUGACAGAAGCCCACACAGAAAAGGCUCAGACCAAAGAGAAAUUUAUGGGCUCCUGAAACCGUAUGUCAGAGAGAGAUUGGGCCAGGGCUGGGAUGUGACCCCGGCUCUUUCUUGGUUUCUCCUCGCCGCUUCUCUCUCUCCUGCAGCCUCACAGUCUCAGACAGGAUUCUUUCAAGAAUUGCAAACUUGGCUGAAGACCUUCCUGUCCCCUUUCUUACCUCCCAUGUACAGGAUGGGGGUGAUGAUCCCACUUCUCUGACUCUCACCCAGAAGUUAGGAACUCCUUAAGGUAAGAAGUCUUUUCUGAUUCAAUUUGG